GCCAGUGUGGCAUAGUGGUUUGAGCAUUGGACUCAGGCUUUGUAGACCAGAGUUUGAAUCUCUGUUCGGCCA